AGUGAACGCUGGCGGUAGGCCUAACACAUGCAAGUCGAACGGCAGCACAGUAAGAGCUUGCUCUUACGGGUGGCGAGUGGCGGACGGGUGAGGAAUACAUCGGAAUCUACUUUUUCGUGGGGGAUAACGUAGGGAAACUUACGCUAAUACCGCAUACGACCUACGGGUGAAAGUAGGGGAUCUUCGGACCUUGCGCGAUUGAAUGAGCCGAUGUCGGAUUAGCUAGUUGGCGGGGUAAAGGCCCACCAAGGCGACGAUCCGUAGCUGGUCUGAGAGGAUGAUCAGCCAAACGGGAACUGAGACACGGUCCAGACUCCUACGGGAGGCAGCAGUGGGGAAUAUUGGACAAGGGGCGCAAGCCUGAUCCAGCCAUACCGCGUGGGUGAAGAAGGCCUUCGGGUUGUAAAGCCCUUUUGUUGGGAAAGAAAAGCAGCAGGUUAAUACCCCGCUGUUCUGACGGUACCCAAAGAAUAAGCACCGGCUAACUUCGU
rnacentral:rRNA from 1 species